UAAUGCCUAGGUUAGUCAAAUCUGCCUGGUAGUGGGGGAUAACUCGGGGAAACUCGAGCUAAUACCGCAUACGUCCUACGGGAGAAAGCGGGGGAUCCCCAUGUACUUCGGACCUUACCAGAUGAGCCUAGGUCGGAUUAGCUAGUUGGUGAGGUAAAGGCUAAGGCGACGAUCCGUAGCUGGUCUGAGAGGAUGAUCAGCCACACUGGAACUGAGACACGGUCCAGACUCCUACGGGAGGCAGCAGUGGGGAAUAUUGGACAAUGGGCGAAAGCCUGAUCCAGCCAUGCCGCGUGUGUGAAGAAGGUCUAAUGUCAAUCGGAUUGUAAAGCACUUUAAGUUGGGAGGAAGGGCAAGCUAAUACCUUGCUGGGUUUUGACGUUACCGACAGAAUAAGCCGGCUAACUUCGUGCCAGCAGCCGCGGUAAUACGAAGGGUGCAAGCGUUAAUCGGAAUUACUGGGCGUAAAGCGCGCGUAGGUGGUUUGAUAAGUUGGAUGUGAAAGCCCCGGGCUCAACCUGGGAAUUGCAUCCAAAACUGUCUGACUAGAGUAUGGCAGAGGGUGGAAUUUCCUGUGUAGCGGUGAAAUUUGAUCUAAUGACCAGGCGUAGAUAUAGGAAGGAACACCAGUGGCGAAGGCGACCACCUGGGCUAAUACUGACACUGAGGUGCGAAAGGGGAAUUUAGCGAGCAAACAGGAUUAGAUACCCUGGUAGUCCACGCCGUAAACGAUGUCGACUAGCCGUAAUUGUCUGGGAUCCUUGAGAUCUUAGUGGCGCAGCUAACGCAUUAAGUCGACCGCCUGGGGAGUACGGCCGCAAGGUUAAAACUCAAAUGAAUUGACGGGGGCCCGCACAAGCGGUGGAGCAUGUGGUUUAAUUCGAAGCAACGCGAAGAACCUUACCAGGCCUUGACAUGCAGAGAACUUUCCAGAGAUGGAUUGGUGCCUUCGGGAACUCUGACACAGGUGCUGCAUGGCUGUCGUCAGCUCGUGUCGUGAGAUGUUGGGUUAAGUCCCGUAACGAGCGCAACCCUUGUCCUUAGUUACCAGCUAAGGUGGGCACUCUAAGGAGACUGCCGGUGACAAACCGGAGGAAGGGUUUGUACAAUGUACCAAUGACGUCAAGUCAUCAUGGCCCUUACGGCCUGGGCUACACACGUGCUACAAUGGUCGGUACAAAGGGUUGCCAAGCCGCGAGGUUGAUCCAUGUGGAGAUCCCAUAAAACCGAUCGUAGUCCGGAUCGCAGUCUGCAACUCGACUGCGUGAAGUCGGAAUCGCUAGUAAUCGUGA
rnacentral:rRNA from 1 species